UAGGGAAUAUUGCACAAUGGGCGAAAGCCUGAUGCAGCAACGCCGCGUGCGCGAAGAAGGUCUUCGGAUCGUAAAGCGCUUUUUGGGGAGAUGAGGAAGGACAGUAUCCCCAGAAUAAGGCUCGGCUAACUACGUGCCAGCAGCCGCGGUAAAACGUAGGAGCCAAGCGUUAUCCGAAUUCACUGGGCGUAAAGCGCGUGCAGGCGGUCUGGUAAGUUGGAUGUGAAAUCUCCUGGCUCAACUGGGAGAGGCCGUUCAAUACUGUCAGACUAGAGGGCGACAGAGGGAGGUAGAAUUCCCGGUGUAGUGGUGAAAUGCGUAGAUAUCGGGAGGAAUACCAGAGGCGAAGGCGACCUUCUGGGUCGUACCUGACGCUCAGACGCGAAAGCUAGGGGAGCGAACGGGAUUAGAAACCCCGGUAGUCCUAGCCGUAAACGAUGUAGACUGGGUGUUGGCGGGGUAAAAGCCGUCAGUGCCGAAGCAAACGCGAUAAGUCUACCGCCUGGGG
rnacentral:rRNA from 1 species